CUGAAACACUUUGACAUUCUUGAAUGGGCCCGAGGAAAUCGAAUUUAAUCUAGCAGCAUUUAAAAUCGACUCUUUAAAGUCAUAUUAAAAGAAGCAUGCCAUAAUAUCACAAGGUAAAUCGUUCUGGAUUGAUUGUGGUUUAAAUAGUCUGUGACACUUUUCUAUUGGCUGUUCAAAUGAGUUACAUGUAAUUCCCAACGCAGAGAUAUAAUCUAUCACAAUUUGCUGAGCACCGUCCUGGCUUCCCUUCUCUGCUAGAUUUCUGAAGCACAGGUUUUUUCGCAUGGAUCGGUCUUCUAGAUCGCUCACUUUAAGUUCGAGGUCUGAAAUAUUGCGAUGUGCCUUUUGGCAAUCAUCUGUCAGGUGUUUUACUUGGGAGUCCAAAUCUUUU